CUUGUUCUUGCGAUCCAGUCCUUUCUGGGACCUAGCACCGAGCGCUCCCCGUGCACCAGGCAGGACAAUGGGCAUCAGGGCUGACCCCGCAACUGCGUGAGUCCACCCUUGCACCGGUUCUGCCCUGGAACUGUUCACAUUCCAGUGCAGACUCCCUGAUGGGCCGCCCAUAUGGAUAAGGAUGAAGUCACAGCAUCCUUUUUGAGGCAGCCUGAGAGUCUAGACUCAGAUUUGCUUACUCGGUUCCCUGCUGUGGUGCAGCAUUGCCUGUUCCAGGGAUUCAGGAAUGGACAGACUGGCUCCUGCCCUCAAAUAGCUGACAUACUCUUGAGAGGAGCAGAUAAAAGCCGAGUAAAAACCAAACAAGCAGGAUGGACUGUGAGCAUCUCAUCAUCUGAGGAAGACCCUGGGUGGAGAUCACUGAAGGGUUUCUUCAAGAUAUGGUGGUCCCAGCGGUGUGCCGAUGGAUUCUGGGUGCGGAAUGGUCCUUCAUGGAUGGUGUUUUACCUCGAUUCAAAACUUGAACAGCUUAAAUGCUUAUGCUGAAGAUACUCGCCCAAAUUUUUAAAUAAAGUGUGAGAGUGGAGAAAGUUGUUUCCAAAUGAGUGUACUUUCCAUGUUAUGUGAGUUUUUAAAAUCAAACUUAUUUUGAGAUAAUUAUAGAUUCAAAAGCAGUUGUAAGAUGUAAAACAGAGAUUCCUUGUACACUUUGCCCAGUUUCCCCCAGAGGUAACAUCUUCAAAACACAACCGCAUGAUAUCACAGCCAUGACACCAACACGGAUGAAUGGCCAUCUUAGAUUUCUCCAGUUUCGCUUCCACGGAUGUCACAAGGCUGUGUCACAUGUAGACUCGUAGACUCCUUCCCACUGCCACAGUCAAGACAGUAUUUCGAUCGCCAGGAGGACCCCAUCUCCCUCCUGCUCCCUAUUCAAACCACUGAUCUGCUCUCCACUUCUAAAAUUUUAUCUUUUCAAAAGUGUCAACAAGUGGAAUUUGUGCAUAUUAAUAAAGGGGAUCCUCACUAAAAUGGAAUAGGGAGGCUCUACAGGUGAAGACACAGCAAAAAGAGAGGGACUUUGAAAGUAAACCAGUGCCACUGUAGCUACUACUUUAUCCCAGCGGGAGGCAAGCUUCCACCUCCCCCAGCAACAGCCUAGCCAAUGAGAAGCCAGUACACUUCCACCUCCCAGUUUUACCCCAAUGGACUUUCUGUUUUCCUCCCAACUUCCUCUUUCCUCUUUCUUUUCCCAGACUAGCCUUUGGUUUUGUUGUAGGUUGCUUGCCCUGGACUGUGAUUCUCUGCUAUUCCCAAAUAAACCCAUUUUUUGCUGGUAAAAUAACUGUCAGUUUCCCUUUGAGGUUGAUAGAUUAUAUAGUAUGUAACUUUCUGAACUUGGAUUUUUUUCCCCACUCAGCAUAAUUACCCUGAGAUUCUGCAGACCUCUUUGUGUAUGAACAGGGCAUUCUCCCUGAGUCCCAGUCCAUGCUGUGGAUGCAGUAUGGUUGGCUUAAUCAUGUGCUCACUAAAAAGCAAGUGAGUUGUUUUCAGUUUUGGAGUAUCACAAAUAAAGCUGCUGUAAACAUUUGGGUAUGGAUUUUUGUUGAAAGUAAGUUUUUAGUUUUCUGGGAUAAAUGCCUCAGUGUGCAACUGUUGAGUUGUAUGAUAAUUGCACGUUAGUUUUAUAAGAAACUGUUGACCUGUUGUCUGCAGUGGCUGUACCAUUUAAAUUCUUAACAGCAGUGGAUAGGUACCUGAGUUACCCAUAACUUCACCAGCAUGAUGUCAUUGAUUUUUCUUUCUGCCAUUAUGAAAGGUAUGUAGUGGUACCUCACUGUGGUUUUAAUUUG